rnacentral:lncRNA from 1 species
GACAACCUCGAAAAUAUUACCUAAUAUUUGUUGUGUCAUAAGAGACCUCUCUGACAUAAUUUCCAUCAGCAGAUAGCUGGUCCAACACAGUCUUCCAGCACUGCAAAACAGACAAUAAAUAAUGUGCCACGAGUAAUAUGCAAACACAUCUCUCCAUUCAAAGCAUUGACCCAAAGUGAAACCACAUGAAGUCCAAGCUGACGUUCCCUUUCCUAUAAUCAGUGACUGUGAGCUUGAUUUUACAGGCUUAAAAUCCUUUCCUUUAAGUGAGACACAAGCUUGCUUUAACAAAACACACUCUCCAUUCAGAAUAACUGUUUUAUCUGCCCACACAGAAUGUCUUUUUCUGUUGUAUUGAAUUGUGGGAGUAGGUGGUCUUGCAUACCUGUGAUCUCUUCUUUCAGAGGUACAAAUGCCAGCAAAUAAUACCUUGAGGACAUUUCUCCCGGGGUGAGGACCUCAAACCAAACAGACUUGUACUGAACCUUGAUUGAACCAACAACGACUCAUACGACGCAUGUUUGAUCCAAGGAAAGGGGAGAGGGGUUGAAAUCAAAAGGAAGCUGGUUGAAUUACAUGGCCUCUGGUACACAUAACCAUGUCCAUGUGUGUUUGUCUGGAGUGUGUUUUCUACAAGGGUAGCAGAGGGAAAUAAGAGCCAGGAGUGACUUAUCACUACAGGAAUGUAUAAGGAGACCCAAGGGGAUGGAUGGAGGGCUGCUAGGAGGCACAGACACAACCAGAACAUACUGCUGAGAGAAAAGACAGGAAAAGAGGGGGAAAGACUUGACAGGUCCAGGUGCCAAUUAAUUGUAAUUACAUGGAAAACAGUAACCAGAACAUCACAAUGUGUUCUAAGAAAGGUUUGAAAUAAAAGGAGGCUUGAGUAAAUGUUACCAGAAUUUCCAUUUUUCGGUUGAUCCAUUUCUCUAGCAGCUUAUUUAACCUCAAAAUACAUGAUUUUUGACAGACAGCAUCUGUACACGUUCACUUCUUCCCAAGUUGACAGCAGAAACAAAGCAGUCGAGGAACAUGUCAAUCAAACAUCCUUCAUUCAGCAGAAGCAGCACAGAGCUAAUGUACGUGAGUCAGUGUGCCUUCAGCUUGAGAAAGGGUGACUAGGUCAGUCACUGUGAUGACGUAAGAGCAUUAAAGAUUAAUAAGACUUUAUCAAACUUUAAAUAAAUGUAAUAUUCGGUUUAAUCAUGCAAGGUUUUUUUUCCUCAGUGAGGCUGAACCUUAUCACUUCUCCUCUCAGGGGAAGGUUGAACAGCUGUCUGCAUCCUUAAGUUCACUGUUAAUCAGACCGAUAACCGCACUCCAUUCCCUAGAGAACUGCUGUUACUCUGCUUCUCUUACAAUCUGCUCCUGUAGAAUGAGUUAGCAAAAAUACAGCUUUCCUGGAUCAAUUUUACUGAGGUGCUGAAUGCACUGAGGCCCAAAAGAGCGUGAAAAGAAGAAAAAUCAAUGGAUCAGGGAUCAGCAAGGAAGUAAUACACUGCAAAAAAUUACAUUUUAUUAAAUAAUUUUUUUGUCAUUCUUAAAGAUAAAUCUACAUGGGAAGCUAAAUUGUGUAAGAAAAUAAGACUUUUCCACAGAAUGUCUUAAGUUCAGUUUCAUUUUCUUACCGCAUUGUUCAAAAAUUGUGAAAUAGCUUUUCAGCAGCUCAAACAGCAUGAUGCCAAGGAAUCAGGAACUGAAAAAUGCAAUCCAAGUGACUUUGGAUAAAAGUGUCUGACAAAUGUAAUGUAC